GUGAAUCAUCAAAUCUUUGAACGCAAAUUGCACUCCCUGGUAUUCCGGGGAGGAUGCCUGGUUGAGGGGCGUGAGAACAAAAAUCGAAGCGUCGCGCUGUUUUUUUAAGGGGGAUCGCGUCGGAAUUGGGCCGUCUUUCAAAUGUUAAUUCAUGUCAAAGUGGCUUGAAAUUCAUCCAUCCGGUACGAUUAAAGCGUAUGUAAGAUCAACUGUGAUUAAGAACGCGCGAUGAACGUACCAUCUCAUGUAGUACGUUUGACUUGACGGCGUCAGGAGCACUCGGUUACGA
rnacentral:misc_RNA from 1 species